GGCCGGUGAUGCAUAGAGAAUUGUCCGUACCAUCUGAUUUCGUUGAUGUAUUAAUCUCACGUAUCUCUGAGGCCU